rnacentral:lncRNA from 1 species
CAUUAAAAAAUAAAAUGUAUUUAUUAUAUGCUUUUUUAUCGUGCCGUGCUGAGUUCAUCUCUAAUCGUGCCAUAUUUUUAAAGUUUGCGUGCUUAUAAUUCUAAUUAUGAUCCAACCCAUAUGGGUGCUGUGCUGUGCUGUGCCGUAUGUUCCACCAAAAUAUACUCAUAUUAUACUGUACUGUACGAUUAUGUGCCGUGCCACGUGCCUCGUGGCCCAUUGGCCAUCUUUACAAUGACCAUCUUUGAUUGUUGCAGGCUUGCAGUUCCCGAGGGGUCUCAUACUAAAAUUUAAAGAACCAUUGUACUAUAAAUAAACCAUGAAAACAUACUUGUGCCCAAAGAUUUUUGUACCUCGGCCCACAUUGCCGGGGCCCAGAUUUCACCAAGCCAAAAUAUAGGGGACAUGUGUUAAGGAAUUUCAUAACAGCUUGACAGCAAGUUAGAUAAUAGAAUAAUUUUUAAAAUAAUUACUGUUGAGUAUAGUUAUUAUACUGUAUAAAUAAUUAAUUGUAAAAAUAAUUGAUUGACAAUCUUUUGUAUAAAGAAUUAAUUGAUAUUCUUUUGGUAAAUCUAACCACUAUAACGAUUAAGAACUACUGAACUAGAUAUUAUUCAAAUAAGCAACAAAAUUAUAUGGUAAAAUUCAUCUUCAAUUUUUAUUGAAUAUGCAUAAAUUAGAUGAUAAUAAAGUAUUGAAGCACAUACUGGAAUUAAAUAGUGAUAGUGAAGUUUUGAUGGAAGGAGAGGAAGAAAUCGGGAAAAGAAACGUAUAUGAACCACAAAAAAAAAAAUCAAUAAUGAUGAUCUCUUUAAAUGUAAAGAUUUUAUUUCUCAACUGAAUAAAAAUAAUAUACAUGAAAUUAAAUUAAAGAUAUAAAUUUUAUUCUCAAAAUUAAAAUUUAAAAAUUACGAGAGGGUGAUUUUACUAAAAGUGAUUUUAAAAAAAAAAUUAACUACACGUUAGAAUUAACUUCUAACAUCUCAAAAUCACUUCAAACCUCUAAAUAACAAUCCCAAAUUGGCCAUAAACGUUAUUAUCUCCUUAAAUAUAUAAAAUCUUUUUGGUCAUACUAUUGGUGAUUUGUCGGCCUAAACAUUUACUUGUCCGUUGGCUCUUGGCCUUUACUAAUUUUCCCAUAAUUCUUCGUAAAGUGAUCUUAUGAUGUGCAUGGUGCACCACAUUGUGUAAUACAAAUUGUAUGAUACAUGUAUUUUUAUAUUUUUCAUAUAUUUAUACUAAAUGAAUAUUAUUUAGAUUUAUUAUUAGUUUAAUUUUAUAUUGAAUUUAUAAUUUAAAUUUAAAAAUAGAAAUACUAUAAAUUUUAAAUUGCAUUGCAGAGCAUUUAAAUUGUUUUCUAUAAUUUGAAAUAUCUAAUAGUACACAUGCAAUGAUUUUAUUUAAGUGGGAUACGAGUAUAAAAUUGUGGAGAAAAAGUACCGCUCCCCAAUUUAAGAAGGAUUACUCAAAAAAAAGGUUUAGUAUUCUAGCAACAUGUGAAUAUUUAAUAUCCUUUCUGGAAAUAAAUAAAAAUUUAGCCCCGCGAAUACAUUGAAGCAUAUGAUUUGUUCUCACUUGUGUGUAUUAUGCAAUGGAUUGAUACAAGUUCACGUCGAACACUUUUAAUAUAUAUUUGUUAGGAUCUUGUGUUCCGAACGAGUCAAAUAAUAUUGAGGCGACAAUAACAGCAACAACUUAGUAUUAAAUUGACACCGGAAUAAAGACAAAAGAUAAAAUUUUUAUUAUUAAGUAAAAUAAAUUCGGGAAAUUUACAAAAGUAAUCUAAAAUUUUUUGUUAUUUUCACAAAUAGCCCUUCAAACUUUUUCCUAUCAACAUUAGUCAAACACAAGCAUUUCUCCCCAAAUUACCCUUCUUUACAAAUCAAAAUCAACUUUCCUUCUCCUCUUUUAUCAAACCAAACGCAGUCUUGCACUCUUGAAUCAUCACCGGCGACGGCAAACGCCGAUGGCGAACGGUAAAAGUGAACUCCGAUUAAAUACAGCAUAAUCCAUUCGGAUCCAACACCAAUCCUCAUCACUGAGUGUGGUAAGAGUUAUGUUCUCAACUUGCGAGAGGGUUUCAGUGCGAUUGCAUUGGUGCAACAGGCACCUAUCGCACAAAGCUUGGUGCGACAGCCGACAGGCACCUGUCGGACGAAAUUUGGUGUGACAGGUUGCCUGUAGCAUCUGUCGCGCACGUGACAUCACACGAGGCGCGCGUGUGCGACGUGCGACGGGCGCGAUGUUGCGCGAAGGCCUGUCGCUGCGAUAAGGUGUGAUAGGCGCGCGUCGCAUGUGCGACAGGUGUGCCUGUCACACCUGAUCGCAGAUCGUGCGCUGAACAACUUUCAAGCCUCCUCCUCUAAACCUACGGCAACUUCUUCACCCAUACACUCAACGUCAUAAACCCUUCAAUCUUCAUUCACCAUCACCAAUACAACACAAAAACCACAACAUAGAAGAAUAAUAGAAAAUAAAAAUCUAGGGUUUUUGACAUAACCUUUAAUUUCAGCUCUUGAUCGAAAUUUUGGUGAUGUUCGCUGCCGAGAAUGACUCCGAGAAGCUGCCGGCGAUGAGUGAACACGUUGGGACGGAAUUCGGCAGUGAGAGAAAGCGAGAGAGAGAGAGAGAGAGAGAGAGAGAGAGAGAGAGAGAGAGAGAGAGAGAGAGGAAGGAGAGGAAGGAGAGGGAGGAGUUAUGGGAGGGGUAUUUUCGGCACAAGUGGGGAGUUUUGGCUAAUGUUGAUAGGAAAAAGUUUGAAGGGCUAUUUGUGAAAAUAACAAAAGUUUUUGGGUUAUUUUUAUAAAUUUCCCAAUAAAUUCAC